UGGCGGACGGGUGAGUAAUGUCUGGGAAACUGCCUGAUGGAGGGGGAUAACUACUGGAAACGGUAGCUAAUACCGCAUAACGUCGCAAGACCAAAGAGGGGGACCUUCGGGCCUCUUGCCACCAGAUGUGCCCAGAUGGGAUUAGCUAGUAGGUGGGGUAACGGCUCACCUAGGCGACGAUCCCUAGCUGGUCUGAGAGGAUGACCAGCCACACUGGAACUGAGACACGGUCCAG
rnacentral:rRNA from 1 species